CACACGUUUUUUCUCCUUUAGAACAUUAGAAUUCUCUUCGUACUAUUAUGUACUCUCUCUCUAAGAUAAAACCCUAAAACUACCGCCUCCACAAUCCUGUCUUCGUCUGCCACUGCCGUCUGCCGCCACUUCCGCCUGCCCAAUCCCUUGCCCUCGGUAGUGAGCCGCCUUUCCGGCUGCCGGCUGUUUGGUUGCUGUUUGUCUCAGAAAACAAAAACCUUAAAAUAUUUGUAUUGAAUUUGAAAUUUGAGGUUUUCUACAAUUGAUGUUCUCCAUUCUCACUUAUCAGCCAUUUUCUUUGACAUAAUUGUUGGUGACAUGCAGAGACGCCACUUCUAUUUGCCUUCUUCAUCUGGUAAAUUUUUCUGAUUCAAUUCUACAUCUUUUUGCACAGAGAAUGGUUUUCUAUCCAUCUUUUUUUUUUUUUUCUCUUUCCACUUUAGGAAUUCCCGUUUUUAACUCGCCUUUAUUAAGCUUUCGAGUUGUGCAAUUGGGGGAUGCUUUGGGUAAAUGAGUAAGAGUCAAUUGUGGAUGUAAAGCACUGCAGCAUCUUUAGGACUGUGCCUCAAGUUCUAUUUGAACAUUAACUGCACAUUACCUAUAUAAGUUCUAGUUGAACAUUUUCUAGUGGGAAAAUUCAUAUAAGGCUAAUUUUUUAGUUUUUCAAAUGGAUCUUUAAUGAUGGGAAUAUGCUAGCAGGUGAGCAAUGACUAAGUUGCCGUGUUUCUCACCUCGUCGUGAAGUAGUAGGCAAUUUUUUGUUGGUGAAGUUGAAACUAUUUCUUUUGUUUCGCAGCCUAUACUCGAAGUUAAAGCAACUAUUAUCUCUCUUGGCAAAAAUUACCGCCUUGUUCGUAUAGCUUCUGAAGUGAAAGCAAAGUCUCAGUUCAUGAGGCAUGAGAACUUAAUGUGAUUGAACAAAAUCCCCUGUUUUCAUUGAAUGAAAGGCUGGGAACUAAACGACUACCGGCAAGAAUUUGUAUUAUUGAUGGCUACCUACAAAAAGUUGAACUUAUAUAAAGUCAAUUUUAUUUUUGUGUAAUUUUUUUUAUUAAGAGGUGUAUAUAGAAGUAGGAAGUAUGUACAAGUUUAGAAGUUGAGACUUGGCUUAUUUCGUAUUAGAAGUAGAAAUGAUUUAAAUUUGUUGUAAUAUUUUUGUAUGGAGUACUCAGGUACUCUUCUGAGCAUUAAAGGGAGGAAUCAAACAAACUUUAUUAAUUACAUGGGAAAUUUUAAGGUGAGCAGAAGUUAUGAAGAGAACUUGCUAUAUUUGUGGUAUAAAGUAGCAUUAAGAAUUGAUAAGCCAUAGUCAGCACUAAGUUUUGUAUAUAUUCUUCAUGUGCCUGUGAAAAAAUGAGAAUUAAGUUUGGAUUUUGUUA